rnacentral:rRNA from 1 species
GAUCCUGGCUCAGGAUGAACGCUAGCGGCAGGCUUAACACAUGCAAGUCGAGGGGCAUCGGGAGUAGCAAUACUUGCCGGCGACCGGCGCAAGGGUGCGUAACGCGUGAGCAACAUGCCCGUAUCAGGGGGAUAAUCCAUGGAAACGUGGUCUAAUACCCCAUAGUAAUUAUGUAAGGCAUCUUAUAUAAUUUUAAAGCUUUGGUGGAUACGGAUUGGCUCGCGUGACAUUAGCUGGAUGGUAAGGUAACGGCUUACCAUGGCUACGAUGUCUAGGGGUUCUGAGAGGAAGGUCCCCCACACUGGAACUGAGACACGGUCCAGACUCCUACGGGAGGCAGCAGUGAGGAAUAUUGGACAAUGGAUGGAAAUCUGAUCCAGCCAUGCCGCGUGACAGGAAGACGGCCCUAUGGGUUGUAAACUGCUUUUGUAUGGGAGCAAUAAGGGCUACGUGUAGUCCGAUGAGAGUACCAUACGAAUAAGCACCGGCUAACUCCGUGCCAGCCGCAGC